rnacentral:rRNA from 1 species
UACGUAGGGGGCUAGCGUUGUCCGGAUUUAUUGGGCGUAAAGAGCUCGUAGGCGGCCUGUCGCGUCGACUGUGAAAACCCACGGCUUAACCGCGGGACUGCAGUCGAUACGGGCAGGCUAGAGUUCGGUAGGGGAGACUGGAAUUCCUGGUGUAGCGGUGAAAUGCGCAGAUAUCAGGAGGAACACCGGUGGCGAAGGCGGGUCUCUGGGCCGAUACUGACGCUGAGGAGCGAAAGCGUGGGGAGCGAACAGG